GGGGUUGUGGCUCGGUGGUAGAGCACUUGCCUAGCAUGUAUGAGGCACUGGGUUCGAUUCCUGGCACCA
rnacentral:tRNA from 1 species